GGGCGUAGGAUAUUUGAGAGGAGCUGCCCUUAGUACGAGAGGACCGGGGUGGACGUGGCCGCUGGUGUAUCUGUUGCACUGCCAAGUGCAUGGCAGAGUAGCCAAGCCGGGACGGGAUAAACGCUGAAGGCAUCUAAGCGUGAAGCCCCCCUCAAGAUGAGAUAUCCCAACGCAAGUUGUAAGACCCCUUGAAGACGACGAGGUAGAUAGGACAGAGGUGGAAGUGCAGUAAUGUAUGGAGCUGACUGUUACUAAUCGGUCGAGGGCAUAACCAA
rnacentral:ncRNA from 1 species